rnacentral:rRNA from 1 species
UACGUAGGGGGCGAGCGUUGUCCGGAAUCAUUGGGCGUAAAGAGCGUGUAGGCGGCCCGGUAAGUCCGCUGUGAAAGUCGGGGGCUCAACCCUCGAAUGCCGGUGGAUACUGUCGGGCUAGAGUGCGGAAGAGGCGAGUGGAAUUCCUGGUGUAGCGGUGAAAUGCGCAGAUAUCAGGAAGAACACCCGUGGCUAAGGCGGCUCUCUAGUACGGUACUGACGCUGAGACGCGAAAGCGUGGGGAGCGAACAGG